UACAGAGGUCUCAAGCGUUGUUCGGAUUCAUUGGGCGUAAAGGGUGUGUAGGUGGCGCGCUAAGUCGGGUGUGAAAUUUCGGAGCUUAACUCCGAAACUGCAUUUGAUACUGGCGUGCUUGAGGACUGGAGAGGAGACUGGAAUUCAUGGUGUAGCGGUGAAAUGCGCAGAUAUCAGGAGGAACACCAAUGGCGAAGGCAGCUCGCUGGGACGUGACUGACGCUGAGACGCGAAAGCGUGGGGAGCAAACAGG
rnacentral:rRNA from 1 species